rnacentral:snRNA from 1 species
GGGCUUGUUUUAGCAGCACAUAUAUUGUUAUUGGAACGAUAAAUGGCCCUGCACAAGGGUGACACACAAAUUCAUGAAACAUUCCAUAUUUUU